rnacentral:rRNA from 1 species
GUGCAGCAGGCGAGAAAAACUUCACACUGUGCGAAAGCACGAUGAGGGAAUCCCAAGUGCUUGCACGUAAGUGUAAGCUGUUUCUCUGUUUAAAACGCAGAGAGAGUAAGGGCUGGGUAAGACGGGUGCCAGCCGCCGCGGUAACACCGGCGGUCCAACUGGUGAUCAGCAUUAUUGGGUCUAAAGCGUCCGUAGCCGGAUGGUUGGAUUUCGAGUGAAAUUCCCCAGCUUAACGUGGGGGGCGUGCUUGAAACACCCGCCAUCUAGGGGACCGGGAGAGGUAGGGGGUAGGCCCCGGGUAGAAGUAAAAUUCUAUAAUCCGGGGAGACCACCGGUGGCGAAGGCGCCCUACCAGAA